UCCUCUCUAUGCCGCCAUCUUGCCCCACCUCUGCCAAAAGCUUUUUUGAAGAUUCCCCAAAGCUGCGCUUCCUGGCCUUCUCAGCAGAUGGCACUGUUCAGGAAGCUGUUUCCCGCAGCCCUAAGGAGAUUUAAAUAUUUGAUGCACCCAGAACUUAUUUUGGUGUAAGAAGUGAGGAUACAAAGUUCCUAGUGAAAAGAGAUUUAAAUGCUACAGUAUUAGAGAGCUUGAAAGUUGUUUUUACCAGAGAGCAAACUGGAGGAAAUGAUACAUGAGAGUGAGGAUUACUGAGGAGAGUCAUUUUGCACUUGGGGGAAGGAAUGGAGGAGACAGGAUGGAGGCAUGCAAGGAGAUGGCUGAGAAGAGAUUAGCCUCAAGUGAGGUGAGAGGAGGAAGAAAAACAAAGGAGGAGGAUAUGGAAGUUGUGUGGGACAUGCUUUCUACAUUGGUGAAUGAAAAGAGGAAAGGGGUGAUUUCGAAUGGUAAUAAGUAAAAGCUGUUCAGCAUAUUUUUUCUCACUUGGCAAUCUGUGCCUUCUCCUUUAAACUGCAGGGUCAAAUGUAAAUGGUUUUGUAGAGUUCUCAAAUCAGAAACAUGAAUAAAAAUAUUUGACUGAAACUAAAAUGUUAAAUGUCUAUUAAAAUACCUGAGAGUGUAUAACAGAUUUGAUAAUGUGAAUUCUGGGAUAAUAAAAUAAGUGACAGAUCUUUCCAUCUAUUUUUAAAUGUUAUUUGGUGAGAGAAAUUUAAUGUGCAAUGAAACCCGAGUUGAAGUUGAGAGGUGGAGAAAUAAAAGGGAGAGAACAAAUUCUUACUAAAUGAUUUCCAUGUAUAG